rnacentral:rRNA from 1 species
GGCUCAGGACGAACGCUGGCGGCGUGCCUAACACAUGCAAGUCGAACGGAAUCGGGGGCAACUCCGGUUCAGUGGCGAACGGGUGCGUAACACGUGAGGAACCUGACCAUCGGUGGGGGAUAGCCGGCCCAACGGCCGGGUAAUACCGCGUACGACCUUCGGGGGGCAUCCCUUGGGGGUGAGAGCAGCAAUGCGCCGAUGGAGGGCCUCGCGGCCUAUCAGCUAGUUGGUGAGGUAACGGCUCACCAAGGCGACGACGGGUAGCUGGUCUGAGAGGAUGGCCAGCCACAUUGGGACUGAGACACGGCCCAGACUCCUACGGGAGGCAGCAGUGGGGAAUCUUGCGCAAUGGGCGAAAGCCUGACGCAGCGACGCCGCGUGUGGGAUGACGGCCUUCGGGUUGUAAACCACUGUCGGGAGGGACGAAGCUCUGACGGUACCUCCAAAGGAAGCACCGGCUAACUCUGUGCCAGCAGCCGCGGUAAUACAGAGGGUGCAAGCGUUGUCCGGAAUCACUGGGCGUAAAGGGCGCGUAGGCGGCCUGAUAAGUAGGGGGUGAAAUCCUGCGGCUUAACUGCAGGGCUGCCUCCUAGACUGUCGGGCUCGAGCACGGUAGAGGCAGAUGGAAUUCCCGGUGUAGCGGUGGAAUGCGUAGAGAUCGGGAAGAACAUCGGUGGCGAAGGCGGUCUGCUGGGCCGUUGCUGACGCUGAGGCGCGACAGCGUGGGGAGCAAACAGGAUUAGAUACCCUGGUAGUCCACGCCGUAAACGAUGGACACUAGGCGUCGGGGGGAGCGACCCUCCCGGUGCCGUCGCUAACGCAGUAAGUGUCCCGCCUGGGGAGUACGGCCGCAGGGCUGAAACUCAAAG